GAGUUCAAGGCAGCUGCCAGGAGGCCUGUGCUGACGACGGUGUGACUUUCAAGGCAUUGGCAAUUUUAUGGACACAGUUAAGAGGACAGUUGUCUCAGAAUCCAACUGUGCCAAAUGUGGACGCUAUACAAAGCAAGUGGUGAUGGGAGGUCCCUAAUAUCACUAAGUUACCACUUAUCCUGAAGUCAGCGGACACUGGAGGAACGGACCUCUUGAAGCCCACAGGCCACCAUGUUGCCUGGUGGUGGGUCUUGUGCCUCUCCUGCUCCCAAGCCUG
rnacentral:lncRNA from 1 species